CCACUUCUGGCCUCAGUGAUGUAUGUAUUUAGAACAUUAUAUAUAUGUAUAUCUGUAAAGAAUUUGUUAACAUUUGAUUCUGCUGCAUAAAUAUUAUCAUGUACUUGUUAUUCUGAAUCUUUAUCUGACACCAAUCUACCUUAAUUGGCACCUAGGAUGUCACAUGACCCCUAACAGAUAUUUGCAUCACCGUUCUCGUCAGAGGGUACGUCGUCAUCCACAGGGAGUAGUCUUCUUACGUCUUUCUAGAGU
rnacentral:lncRNA from 1 species